GGGGGCGACUACCAUGCAAGUCGAACGGUAACAGGAAGCAGCUUGCUUUUUUGCUGACGAGUGGCGGACGGGUGAGUAAUGUCUGGGAAACUGCCUGAUGGAGGGGGAUAACUACUGGAAACGGUAGCUAAUACCGCAUAACGUCGCAAGACCAAAGAGGGGGACCUUCGGGCCUCUUGCCAUCGGAUGUGCCCAGAUGGGAUUAGCUAGUAGGUGGGGUAACGGCUCACCUAGGCGACGAUCCCUAGCUGGUCUGAGAGGAUGACCAGCCACACUGGAACUGAGACACGGUCCAGACUCCUACGGGAGGCAGCAGUGGGGAAUAUUGCACAAUGGGCGCAAGCCUGAUGCAGCCAUGCCGCGUGUAUGAAGAAGGCCUUCGGGUUGUAAAGUACUUUCAGCGGGGAGGAAGGGAGUAAAGUUAAUACCUUUGCUCAUUGACGUUACCCGCAGAAGAAGCACCGGCUAACUCCGUGCCAGCAGCCGCGGUAAUACGGAGGGUGCAAGCGUUAAUCGGAAUUACUGGGCGUAAAGCGCACGCAGGCGGUUUGUUAAGUCAGAUGUGAAAUCCCCGGGCUCAACCUGGGAACUGCAUCUGAU
rnacentral:rRNA from 1 species